CAGACACAAAGUUCUUGAGAUGUGCGAGUUCCAGAGCUCUCCACACCUCCUCAUCAGUGUAGCCAUCAAAGGGAUCCAGAUUCAUACGCAAGGAUCCUGAGAACAGCAAUGGAUCCUAUGGCAAAAAGAUCUUUCCUUUUGCUGCCUCAAGGAUCCGGAAGAUUCCGAGAGCAAGAGAUGACUUUCCAGCCCCUGUUCUUCCCACAAUUCCAACCUGAGAGGAUUCAGAGAACAUCUUAGUACCUAGCCCAAUCAAGACCCCUGCGGUACUGAAGUCCAUAUUCCUGGAAUUCAAUGGAGCCAGUUUUGGGCCAGCCGAAUGGGAGUGGGGUGUCCUCUAAUGUCCAGGGAGCCUGUGCACAGCCAAAGGCAGAAUAAGUAGGAUCUCUAGGUCUGGCAGGAGAGCACAGGCCUCCAACACUUUCUUAUACCAGAUGUCUUUCUUUUCCCAUCCAAACAAAAUGUUGUCUUUGAGAGUGGCAUUCUGGAUCCAGGCCUGCUGAGGCACAUAAGCCACAGAGCCCUGCAAGAAAGUCAUUGCAGACAGAAGAGAAGAUUUUCCACUGCCCACAUGACCUACCACAGCCACCAGUGUACCGUGCUGCACUUUCACAUUGAUCCUGAAGAAAGACAUCAGCCAUUGCCAGAUUACCAUCUUCAUAUGUUUAGGAAUAAUGGAAUCUAAAAAGAUCUUUCAGCUGAUGUUUUAACUGUUAAUAUGAGUGAUAAAAGACAUUAAAAGGCACCCACCUCCUAAGGAAUGGUGGGCCAUCUCUAGACCAGCUGAAAGUACCAUUGUCAAUAAUGACACCAUCUACAUCUGAGAAAAAUAAAAUGCAUUGAAAGCAUCAAUCAUUCACCUGCCAAAGAAAGAAAAGACACAAGGCGAUUUCAAUCGGAGCAACCCACAAUGCAUUGAAGUAC